GUAAAGCCAGAAAGCAGCAGGGAGGGCGAAGCAGGUGGAAGGCUGCCUCCUGAUGCUGUGCUGAGGCCCCCUCACUGGUCUCCCUAGAGACCCGGUUUGCUUCUCUGGUGAGCCCCAGCAAAUAUUACCGGAGUCCGUGACGAAGCCUCGACCUCGUCCACGUGUCGGUGCGCUCCCGGUACCCUUUAGGCGAACCCUGCGACGACGGCGUCCGCCUCGGAGCAUGGCUGAAGCGUGAGGCCCGAGGACCUGGGAGUUCCUAAGAGACGGUGAUGAUACUUGUCUGAGACAACAGCCUGGUGAGAGAAGAACUUCCCAGACAGUGAGGUGGCUUUGUUUGGCUCCCGACCGGCCUCUCGCCGUGACUCACAUCUUCAGCCCUCUGAGAGAUAAGUGGAGCCCACAGAGGGGAUCAAGGCAGGGCGGCGGUCGGGACUGAGAUCGAUGCAGACGGUUUGACGUCAUGGCAGAGCAGCUAUCCCAGAUGAGGGGGUCCCCCUGAGAAGGAAGUAAAGCCGGAUAGCAGCAGAGAAGGUGAAGCAUUGCAAAGGUGGUCUACUUGCAAGAUAUCCCAGCCAAGGAUACUGGAGGACAGAAUGAAAGAACCACAUCACAAAUCCCACCUUGUGGAUCCUGACACACAUCGGUGUCACGGACAGGAUUCUGAGAGACAGAAGGGGUUGCAGGUUUAUCGUGCAGUCAUUAUCAAAGGAAAGACGUUUCGCCUCAGCCGCCCCUAGCCUGCCACGCCGGUGAGCAGUGUCUAGAAAGCAAGGGAGGUGACUCGAAUUUUUUAAAAACAGCACAUGCCUCAGGGCAAAGCACCCCACACUCGUUUGAGGGCUCUGUCUUCAGAACUUUACAGGGGAUCUUUGAGUAUGAGAAGUGGGACUGAGAGGUUUUUCUGUUUAAAGUCCCUGGUUUGCUGCUAAUCUUUAGUUCUCUAAGAUAGAAUGAAAGAACCACAUCACAAAUCCCACCUUGUGGAUCCUGACACACAUUGGUGUCACGGACAGGAUUCUGAGAGACAGAAGGGGUUGCAGGUUUAUCGUGCAGUCAUUAUCAGGGGAAAGACGUUUCGCCUCAGCCGCCCCUAGCCUGCCACGCCGGUGAGCAGUGUCUAGAAAGCAAGGGAGGUGACUCGAAUUUGUUAAAAAUAGCACAUGCCUCAGGGCAAAGCACCCCACACUCGUUUGAGGGCUCUGUCUUCAGAACUUUACAGGGGAUCUUUGGGUACGAGAGGUGGGGCUGAGUGGUUUUUCUUCUGUUUCAGUCCCUGGUUGGCUGACAAGCUUUUGUAGUCCCAGAUGGAAUAAAGGAACCACAUCGGGAAUUCCACCUUGUGCAUUGUGACAGUAACUCAGAGUGCUUUUUUCUUUUCUGUCU